AUACUAUGAUGGUUGCAUAGUUCUGCAGAUUGAAUCAUGGAGAAAUUAACCAUUUGAUGUAUCU